rnacentral:rRNA from 1 species
GAUGAACGCUGGCGGCGUGCCUAAUACAUGCCAGUCGAGCGAACAGACGAGGAGCUUGCUCCUCUGACGUUAGCGGCGGACGGGUGAGUAACACGUGGAUAACCUACCUAUAAGACUGGGAUAACUUCGGGAAACCGGAGCUAAUACCGGAUAAUAUAUUGAACCGCAUGGUUCAAUAGUGAAAGACGGUUUUGCUGUCACUUAUAGAUGGAUCCGCGCCGCAUUAGCUAGUUGGUAAGGUAACGGCUUACCAAGGCAACGAUGCGUAGCCGACCUGAGAGGGUGAUCGGCCACACUGGAACUGAGACACGGUCCAGACUCCUACGGGAGGCAGCAGUAGGGAAUCUUCCGCAAUGGGCGAAAGCCUGACGGAGCAACGCCGCGUGAGUGAUGAAGGUCAUCGGAUCGUAAAACUCUGUUAUUAGGGAAGAACAAAUGUGUAAGUAACUAUGCACGUCUUGACGGUACCUAAUCAGAAAGCCACGGCUAACUACGUG